CAUGUAGCUUCUUCUGGAAAAGUAAGACUGGCUUUUGAGCAAGAGAGAGAUGGAGCAAGCAGGCUACCACUUUCCAAAGUUGCUUUCACAUUCCUAAUUACUCCUUCAUUGUUUUGAUUUAGAUACGCAUCUGGGCCCGGAAAGAUGCCAUUGCAAAUGGAAAUGCAGAUUUUGCUUUAAACAUCACAGGACCCAUCUUCUCAUUUCUAGAGGAUUUGUUUAAUAUCAGUUAUCCUCUUCCAAAAACAGAUCUAAUUGCCUUGCCUGUUUUUGACAACCAUGCAAUGGAAAAUUGGGGACUAAUGAUGUUUGAUGAAUCAUUGUUACUGCUGCUGCCAAGUGAUCAACUGACAGUAAAAAAGGCUCUGAUCUCCCAUAUUGUCUCCCAUGAGAUUGGACAUCAGGCAUGUGUGGUUUGGAAACUUGGUUACCAUGAAUUGGUGGAACAAUAUCUGGCUCAAUGAGGGUUUUGCAUCUUAUUUUGAGUUUGGAAUAACUAACUACUUCAAUCCUAAACUCCCAAGAAAUGAGAUCUUUUUUUCUAACUUUUUACAUGGUGUCCUCAGCGAAGAUCAUGCCCUGGUGUCUAGAGCUGUGUCCAUGAAGGUGGAAAAUUUCACAAAAACAAGUGAAAUACAUGAACUCUUUGACUUAUUUACUUACAACAAGGGAGCAUCUAUGGCCCGCAUGCUUUCCAGUUUCCUGAAUGAACAUGUGUUCAUCGGUGCACUUAAGUCUUAUUUGAAGGCGUUUUCUUACUCAAAUGCCGAGCAAGAUGAUCUAUGGAGGCAUUUUCAAAUGGCUAUAGAUGACCAGAGUAAAAUUCUUUUGCCAGCAACAGUAAAAAGCAUAAUGGACAGUUGGACACACCGGAGUGGUUUUCCAGUCAUCACUUUAAAUGUGUCCAGUGGUGUCAUGAAUCAGGAGCCAUUUUAUCUGGGAAAAGUUGAAAAUCAGACCCUUCUGACCCACAAUGGCACAUGGACUGUCCCCAUUCUUUGGAUGAAAAAUGGAAUGACACAGUCCUUAGUCUGGCUAAAUAAAAGCAGUGAAGUAUUCCCUGAAAUGCAAGUUUCAGAUUCUAAUAAUGACUGGGUGAUUUUAAAUUUGAAUAUGACUGGAUAUUAUAGAGUUAAUUAUGAUAAAUUAGGUUGGAAAAAAUUAAAUCAACAGCUUGAAAAGGAUCCUAAGGCUAUUCCUGUUAUUCACAGAUUACAGUUGAUUGAUGAUGCCUUUUCCUUAUCUAAAAACAAUUAUAUUGAGAUUGAAACAGCACUUGAUUUAACCAAAUACCUUGCUGAAGAAGAUGAAAUCAUAGUAUGGUAUGAAGUCUUGGCAAACUUGAUAACCACGGAUCUUGUUUCUGAUGUGAGCAAGUAUGAUAUAUAUCCAUUAUUAAAGAAUAUCACUGGAAAAACUUUUCACAACUGCAUGUGGGUUCGAUUUUGA
rnacentral:lncRNA from 1 species